CCAGUUCAGAAGGUAGGGGGUACAUGAUCAUAUAUGAAGCUCCGAGGCAUAUCAGAAUUCAUAUCACGAUAGUUACUAAUUGAGCUCCAACUAACCCUGUAAGCUGGCGACAAUCUUUCAAACAGCACAAACACUAUACAUAGGUACAGGUGUACUUCAAUUAGAUAUUUGUACUAAGCCUUUUAUUUCGUCAACACAUGUUUCAUUUCACGGGCUCAGAUUGUAACUGCCAGCAAAAUAUCACCAGCUUUAUGAAUUUUUUUUUGUUUCUUUUAGUACUAAGCCAGAAUUUCCAGUUGGUCCCAGUGUCUAAAGGGCUGGGUUGUAUCCAUCUUAAAUGAAAGAACAAAUUAAAAUUAAAGGUUCUCCUUAUAGUUAAAAAUAUAUGCAACAGUGUAUAACUGUAAAGUUCCAUGUUUUAACACCACACAAUAGUCAAAUUUUGUAUCCUUGGAAGAAUGAGGCCUGCAUAUACUAAGAUAAACUACAGAAGCUUUUCAUGCGUUAGCGCAGGAGUUUUUUUCUGGUUAAAGU
rnacentral:lncRNA from 1 species